rnacentral:rRNA from 1 species
GUUCAACGGCCGCGGUAUCCUAACCGUGCGAAGGUAGCGUAAUCACUUGUUCUUUAAAUGAGGACUAGUAUGAAUGGCACCACGAGGGUAACACUGUCUCCUUUUUUUAAUCAGUGAAACUAAUCUUCCCGUGAAGAAGCGGGAAUUUUUUUAUAAGACGAGAAGACCCUAUGGAGCUUUAAACAAAUUAACAUUUGCUGCCUAAAACAACUCUUCCAGAAACACAACACACAGCAUAGCAUCAUGAUUAAUAGUUUUAGAUUGGGGUGAUCACGGAGUAAAAAACAACCUCCAUGCCGAAAGGAGCCUUCCUGAGCAAAAAGCCACAACUUUAAGCACUAAAAAAUUAACGUUUAUUGACCCAAUAUUUUGAUCAACGAACCAAGUUACCCUAGGGAUAACAGCGCAAUCCACUUCAAGAGCUCCUAUCGACAAGUGGGUUUACGACCUCGAUGUUGGAUCAGGGUAUCCCAGUGGUGCAGCCGCUACUAACGGUUCGUUUGUUCAACGAUUAAAACCC